UGGGGAAUUUUGGACAAUGGGCGAAAGCCUGAUCCAGCAAUGCCGCGUGUGUGAAGAAGGCCUUCGGGUUGUAAAGCACUUUUGUCCGGAAAGAAAUCCUUGGCUCUAAUACAGUCGGGGGAUGACGGUACCGGAAGAAUAAGCACCGGCUAACUACGUGCCAGCAGCCGCGGUAAUACGUAGGGUGCAAGCGUUAAUCGGAAUUACUGGGCGUAAAGCGUGCGCAGGCGGUUUGCUAAGACCGAUGUGAAAUCCCCGGGCUCAACCUGGGAACUGCAUUGGUGACUGGCAGGCUAGAGUAUGGCAGAGGGGGGUAGAAUUCCACGUGUAGCAGUGAAAUGCGUAGAGAUGUGGAGGAAUACCGAUGGCGAAGGCAGCCCCCUGGGCCAAUACUGACGCUCAUGCACGAAAAGCGUGGGGGAGCAAAACAGGAUUAGAUACCCUGGUAGUCCACGCCCUAAAACGAUGUCAACUAGUUGUUGGGGAUUCAUUUCCUUAGUAACGUAGCUAACGCGUGAAGUUGACCGCCUGGGGAGUACGGUCGCAAGAUUAAAACUCAAAUGAAUUGA
rnacentral:rRNA from 1 species